rfam:Ovis aries breed Texel chromosome 3, whole genome shotgun sequence.
UCCCUGGUGGCUCAGCUGGUAGGGAAUCUGCCUGCGAUGCAGGAGACCUGGGUUCAAUCCCUGGGUUGGGAA